rnacentral:rRNA from 1 species
AUGGCCACUGCCACUCGCCAAUUGCUGCCACCAAGCCAAGCCAUGCCGGCGGCGGCACUCCCAGACCCACCGAGAGAGAUCCUGCAGAUUGCUAGCUCCACCUUGCCGGCCACCACGGGCAUCGUUGCAGUUGGUGCUGCGUCAUCCGUCACGGCAGGCGGUAGCCACACCGGCGCCACCCCGGCGCAACCGUCUCCUGCCGCCGCUGGCGUGAACUCGAGCCUCCCGGCCAACAACAACUUGCGGCCUGGAGCCGUCCCGGUGCAAGAAGCCGUUGCUUCCUCGGCUGGGCCAGCAGGUUCGGUCGUCGCCGGGGCCAACGGCCUCCCAACCCCGGCGCAAGAAAGUACGCCAGCAGCGUCGUCGUCGUCGAUCACUGCUUCAGACGCCAAGGCCGCGUUGAGCUGGUCCCUGGUUAAGCCGCCGACCAACGCAGGCACGGCGCCUGCGGCCGGACAGGCAGCCGGGUCGAAAUGGGACACGCUUCUCUCCAAAAUCGUCAAGGACACGGGGCUCCCGGACCCGGAGAAGGUCGACGGGUGCAUCUGGCGCGCGGAGGUCGCGUCCCUGCCGCCCGGAGCGUGCACCCCCGUGGUGGUGGCCCUCGGCCCGCUGUUCCCCGCGGAUCAGGCGCAGCAGGGGAUGGAGGAGACCAAGUGGAAGUACGUGCAGAACCUGAUCCGCCGUGGGCACCGCAAGGAAGACGCCAAGAACAAGCUCACGGAGUACCUCACCCACAUCAACGCGAUGGAGGUCCGCAUCCGGCAGCGCUACGACCCGUCCGAGCUACAGAUCUCCAAUGAGAAGCUGGUGGAGAGGAUGGUGGUGGACGGCCUCUUCGUCAUCGAGGUCCUGAUGAACCACUGGGUGGGGAAGAUCGACAAGGGGUCGGCCUCGCCGGAGGCGACGGCCAGCACGGCGGCCGAGAGCAGAAAGGCCGACUUCACGGCGCCCCUGGCGUCCACGCUGGUGCCGCAGGACAGGAGGGAGGAGUUCACCCCGCUUAAUGUCCGAUGGGAGCCGUACGCGCUCCGGUUCGACCUUGUGGCCGUCCCGAACCAGAUCCCCUUCUUCGUGCUCGAGGAGCUAUUCAAGAUGACCGACAUCCCCGAGCUCGGCGAGCUCGAGAAGAAACCCGUCAAGCUCAAACAGAUCAUACUCGACUACCUCGUCGGCGACGCGGGCGACGACAUGCUCGCUGCUUACGAGGGCCGCCCCGUGUUCCACAUCCUGCAUCUCGUGUAUCUGUACCUGACAUUCUCCAAGGAAGAGCCCAAGGUGUCGGCCCUGCAGCCGAAGCGGCCGGUGACGCGGUCGUCGUCGCUCGACACGGCCUUGGGCAAGCUGAAGCAAAGGGGCAUGGAUCUUCGCGCGCUUUACAGACGCACCGUCACGCGGUCCUCGAGCCUGCCGGUGGGGUGGAUGCAGUGGAAGGUGAUCCCGCCAUUGCGCGAGCUCGUCCGGGUGGGCGUGAAGGUGAAGCGCGCGGAGACGCCCCGGUUCGCGGAGGUCAGGUUCAGGAACGGGGUGCUGGAGAUCCCGGCCUUCGCGUGGCGGCGCUACCACAUCCGGCUGCUCACCAACCUGGUGGUGCUGGAGAUGUCCGGCUGGUGGCCGCCCGAGAAGCGGGUCUUCUGCAGCUACGUGAGGUUCAUGGCGGAGCUCAUGAUGAAGAAGGAGGACGCCGCGAUUCUCUUCAAGAAGGGCGUCGUCCAGGAGAACAACAUCGACGACGUCGAGAAGAGCCUGAUCUACCCGUUCCUCAUCCUCGCCGACUACAGCCACGGCUCCAAGUACGUGGGCCACUUCGACGGCCUCGUCCGCGACAUGGUCCGCUGCUACGAGCGGUGGAGCAAGGUUGGCCCCGUGCCAAGCAGCGCCCAGUGA